GGGGGGGGGGCAAGGACAGAGGCUAAUGUGAUGGUUUCAUGAGGCAAUUGUAGAAAAAUGAGUCGGUUUUUUUUAAGUGUCAGAAAUAGUGGGUAAAGAAUUAGGUUCGGUAGGAUUGUCUUUUGGGGGAAUUUUGAUAAUUUGCGUGGGGUGAGGAAUAGGUGAAAUGGUUGACAAAAGACUGAUUGUGUGAAUUAGAUUGAAUUUUAAUGGGGAAUGAUUAAAAAAAUGUGAGUGACUUGUGUCAAAAGUGUUGCGAAGUGAAUUAAAAAAAAAACGGUCGUGGUUUCGGUAGUAGUGAAUAUUUGGUGAACAAAUAGUGAUAGUGUCAGUGUUUCGGUAUCAUAAAAUCUAAACCAGAAGGUUUUAAAGAUUUUGUCGAGGUUUUCAACGGUGGCACAAUGCAGUAUAUGGGUUGUAGAUACAGAAUGGCGUUUCUCCAACGAGUGCAAAGGUGAAUAGAGAGGGCGCACCGGUGGCUUCGGAUUACGAGAACUUCGUAACGUGCAUGAGAAUGAUUUUACCCUGGUUGAGGCACAAGUGUGAGCUUAAUUAAAUGUCUAUAAGUACUUCGGCUAAAGGCGAGAAUGAGUGGUUUAACAGAGGGACUUGAAAUACGAGCCGACUGUAAAUUCAGGGCAAAGCCACCGUUGAUUGAUUCGAAAUCAGAUCACGACUGGGCUCAAUAUCCGGCUGGUGCAUUCUAUGGGUGCCAAAUGACAGUAUCCCGUGAUGAACUUUCCUCAACCCUUGCAUCACGGGAUUUUCGGGAAUGUCGGAUUGAGUGGGCAUUCCUACGAUGAAUUACAACUCGACGAGGGUCGUUGCUAGGGGAGAAUAGAAAUUUGAAAUACUCCUGCGGCUGAUUGCACCCGUCGAUUAUGCUGUAUCGAUCGCCUACUGCUGCAUUGUGGUCUGUAAUCAAGUGUUUGAGACUGACAAACAUGACAAGAGUUUUUAUUCAGAGAAAAUAUUACGUAGUGAAGUGGUGAAAAUUCGAUAAUUAAUUCGCGGUGUUUUGUGCAGUGGGAAGUAGUGAUAGUGAGAGUGUGAGUGCAAAAAAAAUUGUUUUCUGUGAUAAGUGUCUUCAGCCAGAACUUCGAGGCUCAUCAGGAUCUCCAACGUCAGGAUUGAAGAGGGCUGCGAAGCGGUGAGUGAGACUUCCCUCUGAGUCGAUCAAUUUGCUGAAGGGGGCAGGUGAAGGGAGAAUAAACCCCGUCCUUAUCGCCAGACCGCGAGGAGAAAAUCGUGAAAACCUCUCGUUGAAUCCAGUCUUGUAUGUGCUAUUCCUCGCUCACAGGAUCAUUCUGCGGUUGGUGAUAUUGUUUAGUGCUAACGCACGACUGCUAUAGUCAAACUAAAGCCCAUGCUAUAUUUCUUUAUUUAAUACUGGUAGUAUAACGCCUUGAUGGCACUCUGUUUUAUUUGCACCGCUGAGUCAGCCUCUGGAGGUACAGUGAUGAUAGCACGAGGGAUUCUUCUCACUGCAUGAACACUUUUUACUUACAUAAGGGCUCUUACAUUUAUUGUGAAUAUCAUUUUAUUAUUUAUGUCGUUAUGAUGGACAAUCGUUGAGUCGUAGGAGAAGCGAAUUUAGAUUUUUAUAGAGAAAUCGGGACGAUGAUUCUUGUGGUAAAAAUAUAAUUUUGCACAUCAUAUUUCCUUCAGACAACCACAUGUCCAAAUUCUCAGUCGAGAACUAGUUUUAAAUUCUUGUUAGGAGAAUGUUUGACUGGCAGAACUAUAUUUUUCUCUCAGUGUAGCCCUUAUUUACCAAGAAGACGCUCUUCAUGACUUUAGCAAACAAGAAAAUAAAUGCUCUAGUCUCGCAGAAGUGGGAGUUCCUACUUAGAUCGUGUAUUUUUCUCUCACCUGUCAUAUCUCCUCAAAUCGCCAAUCACAGAAAUUCCCGUCGUCUCAAUGUUUUCCCGAAUCAUUUCCCUCUGGUUUAAAUUAUCUCUAAAAACACCAGAGUCGGGUUUUAUGGUACCCAAUGCCCCAUCGCUGCAAUGCAAACCAAUAAAAUUUCAAAAUCAUAACGCAGCUACGGAGCUUUUCAUCUCCUCCAUAUCCCUUCACGUUUCCUCCUGCUUUCUCUGGUGGUUUCAUCGAGCUGAAAAGGAAAAAAUAUAUUCCACGUCCUCACCCCUUCAAACAAAAAGCCCAUAGUGAUGAAAUUGUUUGCAUUUAUCUGGCGUAUUUUUUUUAUGAUAUUUAUUUCACUUCCAACGUCUUACUACAAGUGGUCCUGUCACUCACAGCAGAUGCUACCAAAAACGAAAUGCGAAUUCCGUGAAGGGUGAAGGGAAAAAAAAUAAAAACACAUAACUCGAGUUUCGAAGGCAUAAAACGCACGUUAGUGUAGGUUUUAGAGGAAAAAAAGGGGGCGGAGGAACCAUUGGGUAAAAGUCGACUUGACGGUCUUUUUGCUCCCCGGCUGGGUAAAGGGGGAAGGGGUAAUACAAACUGAAAUUUACUCAGCGGUGAAAACGUUAUGGGUUUAUCAAUAUUUGCUGGAUAUAUAUUAAACUUUGAUAAUUCCGUUAAAAGCAUUUUCUAUACCAAUAUUGAGUACAUUGAUCAGUAUAUAUUUUGUACUAUCGAAUUCAUGGGCUCAUUCGAGGAUAACUAACAGCAGGGCUGAACAUAAAUCUCAGAUUUCGAUUUUUAUUAGAUAUCAUGUAAAAAGUCCUAUCAAUCGUAACAGAUUUUACCGUAGACAAGAGCUUCUCUCCACGAUUAUCUAACACAUGUGAUUUUUUACCAAUUUUUUCGCCACGUAAGACAACAGAUUGAGAAAUACUGAUAUUAUCCCGAAAAACCAUGACAACUCCCAGAGCAGGGGAGGCGUUAACAACUGAGGGAGUGAUAAACCCAGGAGGGUAGUGAAAUAAAUAUUAUAUGCGUUUGGAAAUAAAAUAGAAUAGUCUGUUCGAGAGGAAAAAACUAGAGAGUUGGUUGAUGUAAAGGGCAGUUGGAUCACAUAAAGCCUGGAAGAAGAGUCGUACACGAAUGCCACGACGUGCAAUAAGUUAUUGCCGUGGCUACUAACGCGGCGUAUAAGACACGCGAGAAAGGGGGUGUUAACGGGCCGCCGUGAAAAUCGAAUGUGAAAAGGAAAUUAGCUUCCGUGGUGAGCCACCGAGUAUAAAGAUAAAAGAAAGAAUGGGAAUGAACUGUGAAAAAAAAAGGUGAAACAACGGGUGGAGAAUGGGUGGAGGGAAGAGAUAUGAGAAAAGUUUGAUGUUUGAACUCUAUGGCGAUGUGAGAUGAUGAAGAAGGAAGGAAUAUGAGAAGUAAAAAAGACGCCUUUCUAUAAUAAAUAAGCGGUGAAAAUGGCGGAGGAUAAGUCGGGUCAAAGUUUAUUCCUAGCAUAAGCUCCAGGGAUUUUUAUCCAUGGUGAAAAGAAGUCAUUUUAGGAUGGAAUGGUAGAGGGGAAGGGGGAGGGGUAGUGGUGGAGAGGGAGGGAAAUAGAGGGAGAUGAAAACCGAUCGCGCUUUAGCCUCUUUACAGCCUAGAAUGCAAAUGACGCUCGUAUCCGGGCGCUUGGCUCUUUGCUUCCUGGACACGAGUCCCUCUUUUGCUUCUUCACUUCCUUGCAGAAGUGGAGGGACAAGUAGAGACAACAGGAUGGAAAAAAAAGGGGUGGGUGAUGGUUUAAAAUCCAAGUUGAACGAGCAACGAAGCCUUUUGGCCUCUCCGAUGUCUAACCCUCCUUGGUACACUCGCUUAACUACCCGGCCAGAAAUAAUAAAAUGCAGAUUCGCUUCGGAUCUUUUUCGGCUUUCAACGAAAAAAAAAGGAAGGGGGGGAGGGAGUUCUUCGAUACAAAACUCCCUGAAUAUGCCCUCUGUCAACCGAGCACUUGCGGAAGCUUUGGCAUUUUUAAGCAGUUCAACUUUUUUACGGCUACGAGUGCUUUCGUCAGUCGGGGUAGGCACUUGUUUUUUAACGAGCAUAUUUUUUUUUUCAAAUUGUCGGCUGUCAGUCCUUCUCCUUCAGUUACCGGCCAUUCCAUCAUUUGUAGAAUAUCCAUGACCAGAUUCUUUGUCAUUGAUUCAAUAAACAAUUUAUCUUACUGAAUCAUUCAACAUGCGAGAUUUCACAGUUUAAUAUCUCUUGACUAUAAUUAAGAUAUUAAACAAUGGAGAAAUUAGACUGAAGGCUAUUAGUCAAAAUGAGGUUUGUUAAUUAUUAGAAAAUGAAUGUGUGGGUGACCCUGACCUACAACCGAAAUCACUCGUUAAUAAUAACUAAUUACUUUUAUCAGUACAGCAUCAAAUAAUUCUGGGCAUUUCUAAUUGCCUGAGGAAUUAUGAUUUGAACGCCUACAAUUAUUCCUCCGGUGAGCAGCUCCACCAAUCGCCCUAUUGAAUUUGUCAACAAAAUAACCUGAAGUAAUGAUCCCUUUAUCAUAUUUUCUUUAUUCCACAUGAUCUGACUGUACGAGUUCCCGCAAUAAAAACGCAUAGCAAAGCCUGGGGUUAUUAGCACUGAUAUUUUAUUCAUAAAGCACCUUGUAUGUGUCCUCAAGCGCCUAGUUACCGCAGUGAGCACUCUUCCCUUUCACCAGAGAGAGAGAGAGUGCGUGAAAAAUAAAAAAAAUACAAAAACGUGCAAGCUACUAAAUAAAACAUCCAUAUACACUCUACGUGCUCAUAAAUUUGAACCCACGUCUGAUAGAUUUACAAGUCGCUCCCCCAUACCCUACGCUUUACACCCCCUUUACCAAACUGAUAUUUAAAUUAGUACAACUUCAGCGGAGGUAGUUACUUUGAAAGCCAAAAAGCUCAGGGAGGGAAAGUCUAUACAGGAGGAAAUAUUCUCAUCGUUGAAGUUUCUCCACCGGUACUUUCGUCAUCCUCCUUCCACCUUUGUUAGUUCCAAGUCAUCCCUCUAUCUUCAUUCCAUGGGUAGCGGAAAGUUUCAGGACUUGGAAAAGUGUAAUCCAUUAACCCGGAAAAGCCACAGGCAUUGGACCGACUCUAGUUUAAAUCCCCGGUUAAAACGUAUAGAAGACAAAUUAAAUCAACUUCAUGUUCCUGAGAUUUUCUGGGCAAUUGGGUUACAUAUAAUCAGUUAAAUCAAUAAUUACAACUGGAGUAGCCGAUAAUCUUUGGAACUCACCGUUAGCAUGUGCUCAAUGACGGAUUCAUGCUUUUUAACUCUAUGCAAAAAUCUGAGAUGUGCACGAUGCAAAGCACCUCCAAUAGUCAAGGGAAAUCAUUAAUAAUUUCACUGCAGCAUGAUGCACUCUGUAAGGGUGUAACGCACCUUCGAUAGCCCACUGGCCCACUUGCCUGGUAACACCGGCUAUGGGGAGAAUGCGGAAAUAAAGAAGAGAAGAAUGUGAACUGAAGGACUUUGCGUAUGAUGGAUGUUUGCACUGGAGCGUGCAUGUGAGAGUGGGGUGAGGAGGUGAAUUGAAAAGACGUGGAGAUGAAGAAAAGACGAGGAAGUGCAAGGGUACGCAACCCUUUCUCCACUUGCGUUUUUUUCCAUCAUGCAAACGGCUUGACUACGCAGAGGGUGUAAAUAAUGAACGAAGGGAUGAUAUGCACUUUCCGGGUAGUGGGGUCGCAUCAGUAGGUCAAUAUCUCACUUGAGGAAUAUGGAGAAUGCUGAAAUGAAUGGAUUUAUGGAAAUCUCAUGCCCGUAUCGUUAAUAACUCGGUUUUUAUUGACGAGAUCCUACUGAAGUGGUGAAUAGGAGAAAUCAUGAAGUCAAUCAUUCAAAGAAUUCCUCAAGUUUGCGUCAUAUAAUGAUGAGGAAAAAAAAUUUAUGGCUGAAAUACAGAAACAGCAUUCGCUCUGAUUGAAUUACCCUGAGAGUAUCCUUUAAUCCUUUUUUAUUAUUCACGACGAAAAAAAUUGAAACGCGGGCCAGACAGCGAUACCCAAAAGAUCGAAUCUCUCGUAAAUCUACGGGUAACGGUGUGAUCGCAUAACGACGUCGCGGAUGCGACGUUUUACGACUCUAUUUUCGAUGCAACGUUGGGAGGAACUUUACGCGCUGAAUAUGCUAAAAUCGGUGAGUAUUGGUGGAAAAGUUUCGCUGCAGAGGGAGAAUUUGCCGGAGAAUGCAAAUACGGAAUUCAUCGGCCUCAACCAUCGGUCUAAUGACGAUCUGAAUAUACACCGCUUGAGGGCGCAAAUCGCUUGAACCAAUUUUCUUCGUUUAUUUGCAGAUUUUUUUUUUACUAACUUCUUUUCCAUUCUUUUGUUCGUUUCGCUUGCCCUUCAUCGAGCUGAGAAUUCUCAAAUGUUCGGAUACAUACCGAAGCCACCAUUCGAAUGCAAAGCGAGUCGUAUCACUUUGGGAUGGGUUUAAAGGCAAAUGGAUUUCUCUGUUCUCUCUCUAGCGAAUCAUCCCUCGACGUACAUUUGCAGGACUGUUUUCCUCCCUCUUCUCCACCCCAUAACUAUUCGGUGUUGGCUAUUGCUUGAAUAAUGAACGACUUACCGUAGCAAUUCACAACAAAUAUUUCCAAUUCAUUUUUAAUUAAAUUGGGGAGUGAACAUAAUAUUGGUAUAUGUCGUUGGAUACAUUUUACCAAUGAAUGUAGAAUCGUGAAGAGAGAUGUUUAUUGUUGACAUGCGAUGGACUGUCGGGAAAAAAUUGAAAUCCAUAGAUUAUUAUUUGAUGGACAUAAACAUUGAGUUUGUAAACGUCUCUCUAAACAUAAAUGUCUAAAUAGCAAAUCACCACUCGAUAAGAAAAUAUUAUUGAUCAUGCAUAACCCCAUAUAUUCUGGUCAGUUAUGGCCAAUGAUGCUCGCAUUUUAAUGUUCACUGUCAGGCCUAAAAAUUAUAAAAAAUCUGACAAUAGCAGAAGCCAAUAAAUAAAUAAUUUAUCUGC